rfam:Parcubacteria bacterium 32_520 MPJ_scaffold_9463, whole genome shotgun sequence.
GGUGGGGUGCCGGAGUGGACGAACGGGACGGUUUCGAAAACCGUUGUGGUUGAAAAACCACCGUGAGUUCGAAUCUCACCCCCACCG